AUGCGCCGAGGGAUGAGCCUGCACUUGAUUAGUUUGUUGGUGGGGUAAUGGCCUACCAAGACUUUGAUCUAUAGCUGAUCUGAGAGGAUGAUCAGCCACAUUGGGACUGAGACACGGCCCAAACUCCUACGGGAGGCAGCAGUAGGGAAUAUUGCACAAUGGAGGAAACUCUGAUGCAGCGAUGCCGCGUGAGUGAAGAAGGCCUUUGGGUUGUAAAGCUCUUUCGUCGGGGAAGAAAAUGACUGUACCCGAAUAAGAAGGUCCGGCUAACUUCGUGCCAGCAGCCGCGGUAAUACGAAGGGACCUAGCGUAGUUCGGAAUUACUGGGCUUAAAGAGUUCGUAGGUGGUUAAAAAAGUUGGUGGUGAAAUCCCAGAGCUUAACUCUGGAACUGCCAUCAAAACUUUUUAGCUAGAGUAUGAUAGAGGAAAGCAGAAUUUCUAGUGUAGAGGUGAAAUUCGUAGAUAUUAGAAAGAAUACCAAUUGCGAAGGCAGCUUUCUGGAUCAUUACUGACGCUGAGGAACGAAAGCAUGGGUAGCGAAGAGGAUUAGAUACCCUCGUAGUCCAUGCCGUAAACGAUGUGUGUUAGACGUUGGAAAUUUAUUUUCAGUGUCGCAGCGAAAGCAUUAAACACACCGCCUGGGGAGUACGACCGCAAGGUUAAAACUCAAAUGAAUUGACGGGGACCCGCACAAGUAGUGGAGCAUGUGGUUUAAUUCGAAGAUACGCGCAGAACCUUACCAACACUUGACAUGUUCGUCGCGACUCUAAGAGAUUAGAGUUUUCGGUUCGGCCGGACGAAACACAGGUGCUGCAUGGCUGUCGUCAGCUCGUGUCGUGAGAUGUUGGGUUAAGUCCCGCAACGAGCGCAACCCUCACUUUUAGUUGCCAUCAUUUAGUUGGGCACUCUGAAAGAACUGCCAGUGAUAAGCUGGAGGAAGGUGGGGAUGACGU
rnacentral:rRNA from 1 species